CAGCAGUGAGGAAGGUGGUAGUGUUAAUAGCACUAUCAUUUGACGUUAGCUGCAGAAGAAGCACCGGCUAACUCCGUGCCAGCAGCCGCGGUAAUACGGAGGGUGCGAGCGUUAAUCGGAAUUACUGGGCGUAAAGCGCAUGCAGGUGGUUUGUUAAGUCAGAUGUGAAAGACCCGGGGCGUCAACCUCGGAAUUGCAUUUGAAACUGGCAGACUAGAGUACUGUAGAGGGGGGUAGGAAUUUCAGGUGUAGCGGUGAAAUGCGUAGAGAUCUGAAGGAAUACCGGUGGCGAAGGCGGCCCCCUCGGACAGAUACUGACACUCAGAUGCGAAAGCGUGGGGAGCAAACAGGAUUAGAUACCCUGGUAG
rnacentral:rRNA from 1 species